rnacentral:lncRNA from 1 species
CUUGUAGAAGGUGAAGAUCAUGCCACCGCUGCGGGGGCAGAAAGAGAGCGGGGGCACAGGGUCAGUGCCAGUGCCAGAGCGAGGGUGGUGAGGUAUUCUGGCGCAGGACACAGCCGACUGACCAGCCAGCUUUGGGUUCGGUUCACGCGCCGCUGCACUCUCGCCUCCUCCGCGCACCCCUCCUCAUACGCGACUUGUCAGAGACAGGAAUGUGCUGAGACAGGAAUGUGCGGUACGUUGCUGCAUCCGCACUCAUAGGCCCUUCACAGGCCCCCCCCACACGCACAGACACUAACUCACCCGAUGAUGAUCUUGUCGCACUUCUCCAUCAGCGCCUCAAUGACGGUGAUCUUGGAGGACACCUUGGAGCCGCCCACAAUGGCCACGAAGGGGCGCUUGGGGUUGGACACGGCGCCAUCAAGGUAGUCCUGUAAGCGCGGGAGGCAUGGGCGGAGCACGGGUCAGAACCAGGCCGGGCAUCAGGGGGACGUCGGGGAAAUGUCGAGCACGGCCAAACGGCCGCGUGGAGCUGGAUUGCCCUCGGCAGCCAGUAUGAGAACCUUCCCCCCGAAGCUUUUUGCAACAUACACGAACAAUCGGACGCCUAAAGCUAAGCUGUCUCACCAGCUCCUUCUGCAGCAGGAAGCCGGCCACGGAGGGCUUCAGGAACUUGGUCACACCCUCGGUGGAGGCGUGGGCGCGGUGGGCAGUGCCGAACGCGUCGUUCACGUACAGGUCGGCGUUGGCGGCCAGCUGUGUGUGUUGUACGGUGGUGGGGAGGCAGGGAGAAGGGAGGGGAGGGUGGGGAGGGUGAGUCAACAAACAUGCCAGGGCGCAGGCGAUUGACGGAAGCACACGUGCGGGCAGGGGACACCCAACACCACCCACGCCACGCCCACCCCCCAGGCCGGCAAGCGCAAGCACUGCAUCAAGUUAUCAGAGUACCACUACCUCAACGUACUCAGCCAUGCCCGCCUUGCCUGAUUCUCAAAACCCACCUCCCUUUUCCCCAAUCUCCACAGUCCUCACCUUCUUGGCGAACUCGGGCUCGUUCUUCUCCUCCUCCUUGUAGAAGCGGACGUUCUCCAGCAGCAGCAGCUCGCCGUUCUUCAUGGCGCCCACCGCCUUCUCCACCUCGGGGCCGAUGCAGUCAUCGACCUUGGUCACGGGCUUGCCCAGCAGCUCCGACAGGCGGGCCACCACGGGGGUCAGGCGGUACUUGUCCUCGGGACCGCCCUUCGGGCGACCCUGUUUUUAACAUGGGCAAGAAGAGGAGGGGAAGGGUGCUCAGAGCUCAGGAGGUGAAAUAGGAGGGGGAGGAGGAGGGGGAAGCUAGGGCGGGCAGGGAGCGGAGGCAAGGCUAGCGUGUAGGGUGUGGUGUGCAAGCUAGCGAACAGACCGGGGCUGCGCCCCUUGGCAGCGACAUGUUCUGGGCCAGUGGUGGAACGAGAAACCUAUGCAUGCCGACAACACACGAUGCUAGGAGCGCCUACCGAGGGCCCUGGGUGCGCCGAGCACAGCACAAUCUCUUACCAGGUGCGAGGUCAGCAGGACCUUAGCACCGUUGUCCAGCAGGUACUUCAGGGUGGGGACGGCCGCGCGAAUGCGGGUGUCGUCGGUGAUGGCCAGGGUGGCCUUGUCAAGAGGCACGUUCAGGUCCGCGCGGACGAACACGCGCUUGCCUGCGAGCGAAGCAUGGAGGUAGAGCGAGUCAGGUUUAGCGCGACCCCGGGCCUGAUCGGGACCAGGCUAGGCGACCCAGAGUCAUCUAAGCGCUCAAAAGUAUCAGCAGAGCGGUGUCGGCAGGCUCAGCGACCGCGGGCGAGGCUUCGCUCGCCGAUGAUCCAGUCGACCGAACGCGAUAAAAAGCCCCCUUCUGCCACCUGGCCAGUGAGCUCACCCUCCAGGUCAGCCUUGUGCAGGUCGCCAACCGACUUCUUCACCUACAGGGCACAGCACGUAGGGAGAAGUCAGCAACCGGGCCCAUGGGGCUGGAACUCCGCGACCCAUCGAAAGCGCGACUUACCGCCUCGACGACGAUGCGAGAGCGGCCCACGCGGCGGAUGUCCACAGACACCUCAGCGGCGAAGCCAGAGCGCAGCACGGAGCUGGAGGCCGACGAGAAGGGCACCACGCGGGGGGCCACAGCGGCGACGCGGCGACCGGACACCACGCGCGCGUUGGCGCGCAUCUUCAUAGAGAGGGCCAUGAUUGUAAGUGGGUUGUUCGGACUGAAGGGUCAGACAACUUUGGCAAAGCGGAAGCAGAAGCUUUUGACUGGAAACGCGCUCCUCAUCCGCGAUGAGGUGUACGGCCUUGCAGCGAGCGGUCCUCUGCGUUUGGCGCGCUGCAUGCACCAAUGCAGACGGCGCGAAUUAGUCUUGAUAUCAGGCGUUAAAUCUAUCUGAAUGCAUAAAGCGGGAAGUGGAAAUGAGCCAUAACGGCUACAAGCGAAGCCGGAUGCAAAGUACCGAAGGCAACUUGAAUGCCCCAAAGCGAAGCUGAAACAUGCUAUCAUGCACAUUAAGUAUACAAUUUUGUAUCUCUGGAAGCAGACUGGCGUUUCUGCUGUCAGCAAGAAGCAGUCUUGCCAGAGGUUCGUCACGCUCAAAGGCCAGGUUGGCUUGGGGCAAAAGAAGUUGUAUCGCACGUCCUACCAGUCUUGUUGGCAUCGAGAGGGCGCUGUCCGGGGUCCACUCGGCUACUGCCGCGACCGCGGUCCGCGGGUCCUGAACUUUGGCCCGCCGUCGCCCCAGGACCUUGCCCAGGAUCAGGGUUGCUGCCUCAUUGCCUCAGGAGCCCCGGGGCAAGCGUCAUAACCCAAGCUCAAGACAUAGUGCAAAUUCAGGGGCAGGCCCACCAGCGAAAGAGGGCACGCGGGUUUCCCCGACUAGCCUGACAGAUCAGGGGAGGUCGAUCAGCGAAGUGCUUGCUAGUGAAUGCGAAUGCAAGACGCCGUCGCGAGCUCCAGGCUAGCAAUAAAGUGUCAGCGGCAAUGCGGUUACUUGUUACCUUCGAGACGAGACACCGGUGCGCGCUCCACGCUGCUCCGCAUUCGGCACGCCAAACGGAGUCCGAGUGUCGUGGAGACUGCUGCCGCUUGCAGGGGCGGACGUGUUCCAGCUCGCAACUAGGCUGCUGCCAUUCGCCGUGACAACGCGAAACCCACAAAAUGCACCCACCUGGAACGGAGCCAGGUCGAUGUGUGUUCAGUCCGAACUUGGAUCCGGUCGGGUCCCUCGCACUGGCACAGUUCCGUACAUCAGCAGCCACACGAGAAGCUUUGGGCCUUGAUUGUAUCCUUGCACACGCUGGUAUGGGAUGGAAGUAAGGAGAGGGAUGCGGGAGGCAACAUCCGGUGGGGGAACGUGGAAAGCACCCAAGGAUCUGCAUGCCUACAUGCACUGGCUUGCAGCGCGCAUACACCCGCCUACGGUAGUCAGCAAGGAAAGCGCGGCUAUGUGCCAUGUGCCGUGUGUUGUGUGAGGAGUCCUGCGGAACGGCGGCCUGUCAGCAAUGCCACCAAGCGCGCCAGGGCUGUCCGGGGGCAAUCGGGGUGGAUGAGGGCGAGGCGAGGCGGGAACUUACCUGUCCACGGCAAUGUUCAUGAAUACUGCUCAGUGCUCGUAUCUUCCAUCUACACUGUAGAAAUCUGCCCAAAAUCCGCCGAAGGCGGAGAAAAAAUUUUGGGUUUGGGUGCCACGCAUCUACGCAGUGUAGACGGUUUUGGCCGGCUUUGGUGCAAAAAUGGGGGAAGCGUAGACGUUUUGGGGGGCUUGGGGGCUUAAGUGUAGAUGCCGCGGUCAGGGUCAUCUACGCAUGUGUAGAUGUCGGGUGCCUGAGGGCGUCUACAAGAUACGAGCACUGAUACUGCUGGAUAUUGUCGUGUUGCACACACUGCUCCUGGGGCCCUGGGCCUGAGGGCUAGGCCUUCGCGGUGGCUUGGCUGGAGAGACAGUCAGAGGCCCGAACUGCGGGUUGGAGGGGGGUGGAGCGGGUUGGGGCUGGACCACCACGGGGCUAGACCACGGGACUGGGCCCGAUUGGACUGGUCACUGGUACCGAAGAAAGAAAGGCUGUGACGGAGGUG